rnacentral:rRNA from 1 species
ACUCCUACGGGAGGCAGCAGUGGGGAAUUUUGGACAAUGGGCGCAAGCCUGAUCCAGCAAUGCCGCGUGCAGGAAGAAGGCCUUCGGGUUGUAAACUGCCUUUGUCAGGGAAGAAAUCUUCUGGGCUAAUACCCCGGGAGGAUGACGGUACCUGAAGAAUAAGCACCGGCUAACUACGUGCCAGCAGCCGCGGUAAUACGUAGGGUGCGAGCGUUAAUCGGAAUUACUGGGCGUAAAGCGUGCGCAGGCGGCUUUGCAAGACAGAGGUGAAAUCCCCGGGCUCAACCUGGGAACUGCCUUUGUGACUGCAAGGCUAGAGUACGGCAGAGGGGGAUGGAAUUCCGCGUGUAGCAGUGAAAUGCGUAGAUAUGCGGAGGAACACCGAUGGCGAAGGCAAUCCCCUGGGCCUGUACUGACGCUCAUGCACGAAAGCGUGGGGAGCAAGCAGGAUUAGAUACCCUGGUAGUCCACGCCCUAAACGAUGUCAACUGGUUGUUGGACGGCUUGCUGUUCAGUAACGAAGCUAACGCGUGAAGUUGACCGCCUGGGGAGUACGGCCGCAAGGUUGAAACUCAAAUGAAUUGACGG